rnacentral:rRNA from 1 species
AUUGAACGCUGGCGGCAUGCCUUACACAUGCAAGUCGAACGGUAACAGGUCUUCGGAUGCUGACGAGUGGCGAACGGGUGGGUAAUACAUCGGAACGUGCCCGAUCGUGGGGGAUAACGCAGCGAAAGCUGUGCUAAUACCGCAUACGAUCUACGGAUGAAAGCGGGGGAUCGCAAGACCUCGCGCGGACGGAGCGGCCGAUGGCAGAUUAGGUAGUUGGUGGGAUAAAAGCUUACCAAGCCGACGAUCUGUAGCUGGUCUGAGAGGACGACCAGCCACACUGGGACUGAGACACGGCCCAGACUCCUACGGGAGGCAGCAGUGGGGAAUUUUGGACAAUGGGCGAAAGCCUGAUCCAGCCAUGCCGCGUGCAGGAUGAAGGCCUUCGGGUUGUAAACUGCUUUUGUACGGAACGAAAAAGUUCCCUCUAAUACAGGGGGCGAAUGACGGUACCGUAAGAAUAAGCACCGGCUAACUACGUGCCAGCAGCCGCGGUAACAC